rnacentral:rRNA from 1 species
UACGUAGGGACCAAGCGUUGUCCGGAUUUAUUGGGCGUAAAGAGCUCGUAGGCGGCCCUCCACGUCGGAUGUGAAAGCUCAGGGCUCAACCCUGAGAUGCCAUUCGAUACGGGAAGGCUAGAGGUAGGUAGGGGAGCGUGGAAUUCCUGGUGUAGCGGUGAAAUGCGCAGAUAUCAGGAGGAACACCAGCGGCGAAGGCGGCGCUCUGGGCUGGAACUGACGCUGAGGAGCGAAAGCGUGGGGAGCGAACAGG